rnacentral:rRNA from 1 species
UACGUAGGGGGCUAGCGUUGUCCGGAAUCAUUGGGCGUAAAGAGCGUGUAGGCGGUCCGGUAAGUCCGCUGUGAAAGUCCGGGGCUCAACCCUCGAAUGCCGGUGGAUACUGUCGGGCUAGAGUGCGGAAGAGGCGAGUGGAAUUCCUGGUGUAGCGGUGAAAUGCGCAGAUAUCAGGAGGAACACCUAUUGCGAAGGCAGCUCGCUGGGACGUAACUGACGCUGAGACGCGAAAGCGUGGGGAGCAAACAGG